rnacentral:rRNA from 1 species
AACGGACGCUGGCGGCAUGCCUAACACAUGCAAGUCGAACGAGAUCCUUCGGGGUCUAGUGGCGCACGGGUGCGUAACGCGUGGGAAUCUGCCCUUUGCUUCGGAAUAACAGUUAGAAAUGACUGCUAAUACCGGAUGAUGUCUUCGGACCAAAGAUUUAUCGGCAAGGGAUGAGCCCGCGUAGGAUUAGGUAGUUGGUGGGGUAAAGGCCUACCAAGCCGACGAUCCUUAGCUGGUCUGAGAGGAUGAUCAGCCACACUGGGACUGAGACACGGCCCAGACUCCUACGGGAGGCAGCAGUGGGGAAUAUUGGACAAUGGGCGCAAGCCUGAUCCAGCAAUGCCGCGUGAGUGAUGAAGGCCUUCGGGUCGUAAAGCUCUUUUACCAGGGAUGAUAAUGACAGUACCUGGAGAAUAAGCUCCGGCUAACUCCGUGCCAGCAGCCGCGGUAACAC